GGACGGUCCUGGGGAGCCUCAGUCGGUGGAAGAAGGGAAAGCGCGACGGCCGAGCUUCUUACUUAUACUCCUGCUCCUGGGCGAGAAGAUCCAGCGACGGGAGUGGGGUUCCCGGGACGCUGCGUCCCUGUAAGAGGGAGAGACCUACAGUUAGAGAGACCGAAGUUCUCGGAAACUGGAAGUCCGCGCAGCCGAAUGCUGGCCAAUUGAACUGACCCUAAAACCCAAACUUCGACCCGCCAUCUUUUGGGACAGCGACGCGGUUACCCAGGCAACGACAGGUUUUCUCGCGAGAUCGACCAUGUCGCGGAGCCCGGCUCCAGCGCCGUUGGGCGUGGACACCUGUCGGUCUGCGCUCCUCUGGGAGCCCAAAAGCUGAUCUUUGCAGAUGAUAAUGCUGUCUUCACUUGCAACAUGGUAUGUUUAGCCUAUUAGUACACAGAUGAAAAGCAGGAAUGGACAUUAACUUUUGUGGUCAUUGGUGUGCAAAUGGACAUUCUUCAUAUUCAGAAUCUAUGACAAAUUUUUGAAAGCUAAGGAGCAACAUAAUAAUCUGACAAGAAGUCUUACCCAGGAGGCUGGGGAUUUAUCUCAGUGCUGCCUGUGCCUGCCUCAAAAGCACAAGGUCCUGAGUUCCAUCCCCAGUACAAAAAAAAAAGUCCUACAGAGAAGAACACCACUGGAUCCAUGAGGGUGCCACCUUGGCAAAGGCUGGAGGAAACUGCCUUGGAUCUGCAUUAGAUGGAGGUUGUUAAAAAGAAAAAGGAAC